CUUGCACAGGUAGGGAGACUGAUGAGCUAAUGAGCUAAUUAGCUUGCCAGCUGGAUAGCUCUGAGAAGAAAGCAAGCAGUAUAAAAGCCUGAGCCAGGGAGCUGGAAGGGGGAUCUACAUAAUUGCUGUUAUGGUGCAAUGCACCUGGAGCAUAAACAGCAAUAAAGAUACUCUGUGGUGGUAUCCUGCUGGACUCUGUUGCUUCUUAAUUAACAAAGAGGGCUUACUAGCCAGGGUUUCCAGGAGCUGAAGUGGGGGGGCCUAUUUACAGGCCCCAUUAAAACUAGAAGAAAAUGUUGACCACUUCUACAGGACUGGCACAUCAUGGGAAAAAGGGGCGGCAGCAAGCGCUGGUGGAGAGGUGAAGAGAGGCCCCUGGCACGACACUCAUGCAAGCACCCUCAGGCUGCUGCUCAGGAGGUCCAGCCAGGAUAAGCCCCACCCCCCUCGGAAUUGACUCGGAGUCACCUGCCGGAGGGGAAGGGGUGUGUGUGACAUUUACAGAGACGCACUCAAUAUGAUUCUCAACAGAGACGCAGUGCUACAACUUGCUAAGGGAGAACGGAGACUGAUUCUAGUCAAUGAACAGCAAUAAACCAGAAAAAACUAGAAAAACAAUAAUGAGCUGCUGAAGGAAGUUGGGGGAGGGAAGUUCAGGCAAUUUUAACUCUUGAGGGGCUAGGAGAAAAAUAAGAAAAAGAGGGAGCACAGAUCUAGAGCUAAGGGGGCAGGAGGAGAGAGAAGCAGUGGAUGAAUGAAACGGUAAUAGGGAUUGAAAUAAUGCUGCUCUUUAACUGUUUCCAAGCUAGUGAAUCCCAGUCCCUUAUUGUUGUUGCCAACACUUAACACCAUUUCCACAAUAUCUUCUAUUCUAUGUAUAUGGAAAAACUGUGGCAAUCUUGCACAUCGCUCUGCAGAAUCAGGAAGGGCUGAGUUUUUGUAGUACUGAUCACUUUUCUCUAUCUCCUAGAGUUGGAUCCACGUCUCAGUUCCUUGUCUCACAACAACUUGAUUAAAAAUGAAUUUGAAGUUA